rnacentral:lncRNA from 1 species
AGAGAGGAAACGUUCUACUGCAAGCCGAGCGUGGGGACCGAGGGUCGGCGUCACAGUGAGAGAGCCAUGAUGGAGGACGGGGUCACCCUGCUUGCCCAACGCGGGGAGCUCCGUCAUACAGAACCCCAAAAACCACCUGACCUCCAGAUUCUCUCUCGUCCAGUGGAGAUUCUCCUGCCCGAAGGCAGGCGCUCUCCAAGGUCCCUCUCCCCAGAAGAGCCACGAUCCCAGGAAGCCGGCUUGUGCAGAGGAAAGAACCGCACCUCGUUGUCAGAACAACCCCAGCUCUGCCACCUACACCUUGUGUGACCUUGGGCAAGUCAGAGAAACUUCUCAGAUGCACAAUCUCGUCACGCUCCUAGUUUCCAAGCCCACACACCUGAGGGUCAAUGUCCCUUAUUGCACCCCCACCCCAUACCGACUCCAUCAGCAAGUCCUGUUUGUUCUUGCCCCAAGUAUCUCUCCUGUCUGCCCAUUCCCUGCAUCUCCCCCGUCACCACCCCGGGCCAGUCCCCGUUACCCGCACCUGGAGGUCUGCACCAGCCCCACCUGCACUCCGGCGUCCACUCUCGCCCCCAUUGCUGUGAUCUCCACACAACCACGAGCGGCCUUGAGAGCGCAGCGAGGCCGUGAGGCUGCGCAGAGCCCCUCAGUCAGCAGGACCGCGCUCACGGUUCAGUGGGCCGUCUGCUAGAGGCUUUCCGCAGUUCAUUCCUUCUCCCCACACAACUCUGAAGGUACGAUGAUGUACAAAAGAGGAAGCAAAGCACUGAACACAGAACCUGGCAAGCUGUAAUCAUCUGGCACAUCUGAACUGUCUGGGUGGUGUCUCCGCUGCUACCGCCUCAGUGCAGGUUUCCAUCAUCUGUUGCCUGUUGACCAUGAAACUCCCAACUCAAUCCUCUCACUCCAGCCUUCCUCAAACCCCAGUGUCUUCCACAUACUAGGACCAGAGUGAUCCUCUGAACAUAAAACUGAUUGAUAACAGAUCAUCC